AGCAGCAUGGUUGUAAAUCUUGGAAUACCACUCUCUCCAGAGAACUACAGUUACACAUGACCCAGAGAACAAUGAAAUAUAUGACCAGAAAAGAAGGUGGGUACAUCGUGUAGUAGAAAUGGAGGAGGAGUGUCAAAGGUCAACAGCCUGAGCUCUAUACCGAUUGCUUUAGAAUGUAAGAAUCACAGAAGAUGAGAAGGCAUGAGCAUGAUGGGAAAUCAACCAGUAUGGGAAAUCUCUCUUAAAGAUUUACCCAGGCCAAGAUCUAAUCAGACAGUAAAAGAAAUUCUAAGUUUUGGUUAAUGGAUAUAUUCCUGCUCCUAGUAUUUGUUCAGAGAGGCCUGGGAAAAUAUUGAUUCUCCCUAUUAUCAAGCGUUCUGCUCUACUGAGGCCCUGUGGCUAGGAAGGAUUCGGACCCUGCCCUGGGUGGUUGUAGCUGUCUCAGCUGGGCUCCAGUAUUGGCCUUUGCAGCUGAUGAGUGAGAAGACAGGACCUGCAUGUUGUGAUUUUGGAGUCCCAGGAC